AUGCUACUCCCUCCGUUUCAAAUUACUUGUCUUAGAUUUGUCUAGAUACAUAUAUCCGUAUCUAGACAAAUCUAAGACAAGUAAUUCGGAACGGAGGGAGUAUACA
rfam:Triticum urartu cultivar G1812 contig1184982, whole genome shotgun sequence.